rnacentral:lncRNA from 1 species
GUGUAGUCGGGUAUGAGAACGAUUGCAAGCAAAAGCAGCUGAGGGACGCUGUCCAAGGAGUAGGCUCAGUAGCACGAACUGCAAAUACUUGAGAAGGGAAAAGUUCAGCCUUGUGCUGGAAAGUGGUUUAGCAUGCUGGAGCUGGUUUUCUGCUUGGUAGCCCUACAACUUUGGCCCAACUACUUGGCCUCUGGGACUCAGAUUCCUCCUCUUUAAAAUGGUGCUAAUAAUAGCACCCACCCUCUGUGAGGAGGAUGCUGUGAGGACAAAAUGAGAUCAUCCACAUAAGCCGUGAACCCUGUUCCUGGUAAGCUCCUGGAAAGAAGUCUAUGGAUUAUACUCAACCUACACUCCAGUUAAAGGAACAUCUACACACAGAGGAAAUGAAUAACAUGAAGUGAAGUCUUCAUCUCCAUUCCCAACAGUCCCCAUUCUACUUGCAGAAAGGUUGCUUACACUGAAAAUCAGUUUAUUUUCCCCUGGUGCAAAGAACAGUCGUUUCUCCAAAACUGAAGCUGGAAAUUAUCUGAAAUAUCAGGUCCUCCGGAAAAGGGACGUGAAGCCCCCUUUGUAAUUUCUGCAUUAGCGUGCUCUCCUGGCAAGCAGGAAACCUCAUCAGAGAAGUCAGCCAAGGAAAGUCUUUAAAUGGAAAUUGUGCAAACGAGGAGCAAAUGCAUUAAAAAGUUGCUGACGGGCAUGAAAUGCUUUGAUGUGAAGACGGAAAACUCCAAGCAGGAAGGAUUUUAACAUUUUGAAUCUGAUUGACUCUGUGGUUUCUCAGCACAGUUAUUCCAUGGGCUAAAAUAAAUGCAGAAAUGGUACUUUCAGACCACAGCUGCAGAGGGGAUCGUGGUGAAUUUCAAUGAAAAUCCAUUUGAAUCUUGAGGUUCAGAUCUUAAAAAAGCAAAGGACAUGAGAGAAGUAAUAUUGUUGCUUGAAAUUUCAUUGCUUAUAUCUAAA